rnacentral:rRNA from 1 species
GGCGGCGUGGAUUAGGCAUGCAAGUCGAACGUGAAAGUGCCAAAGGGGUAACCCGGAGGCGCGAGUAAAGUGGCGAACGGGUGAGUAACGCGUGGGAAACCUGCUCCAGGGUGGGGGAUAACAGCUCUAACGGGCUGCUAAUACCGCAUGAUGCCACGGAUCUCAUGAUAUCGUGGUUAAAGGAGGCCUCUAUUUAUAAGCUUCCGUUCCGGAAUGGUCCCGCGUUCUAUUAGCUUGUUGGUGGGGUAACGGCCUACCAAGGCGACGAUGGAUAGCCGGCCUGAGAGGGUGGUCGGCCACACUGGGACUGAGAUACGGCCCAGACUCCUACGGGAGGCAGCAGUCGAGAGGCUUCGGCAAUGGGGGCAACCCUGACCGAGCGACGCCGCGUGGGUGAUGAAGAUUCUCGGAUCGUAAAACCCUGUCAGGUGGGAUGAAAAACCAUUCGGUUAACACCCGAGUGGCAUGACAGUACCACCAGAGGAAGCUCCGGCCAACUCCGUGCCAGCAGCCGCGGUAACA